rnacentral:rRNA from 1 species
CAGUAGCCGCGGGAACACGUAGGGCGCAAGCGUUGUCCGGAAUUAUUGGGCGUAAAGAGCUCGUAGGCGGUCUGUCGCGUCUGGUGUGAAAUCCCGAGGCUCAACCUCGGGCUUGCAUCGGGUACGGGCAGACUAGAGUGCGGUAGGGGAGACUGGAAUUCCUGGUGUAGCGGUGGAAUGCGCAGAUAUCAGGAGGAACACCGAUGGCGAAGGCAGGUCUCUGGGCCGCAACUGACGCUGAGGAGCGAAAGCAUGGGGAGCGAACAGGAUUAGAUACCCCUGUAGUCCCUGUCUCUUAUAC